AAUUAAUAUUAAUCAAUAUAACAAAAAAUAUUUUAACCAUAUGGUCCUUUCGUACUAAUAUGGAUUAACAAUCUUAGGAUAGAAACCGACCUGGCUCACGCCGGUCUGAACUCAGAUCAUGUAAGAAUUUAAAGGUCGAACAGACCUAAUCAUUGGGCUCCUGCACCCAAAAUUUUUCUUAAUCCAACAUCGAGGUCGCAAUCUGCUUUGUCGAUAUGAGCUCUCAAAAACAAUUACGCUGUUAUCACUAAGGUAACUUAAUCUUAUGAUCAUAAAUUAUGGAUCAAAAUAACAAACAUAAAUAAAUGAUAUAAUAAUGAAGAGUUUAUCUCUUCUUCAUGUCACCCCAACAAAACAUCAUCAUUAAAUAUAGAAAGACAAACAAAAAACUAUAUAAAAGUAAAAUGUCAAGCUCUAUAGGGUCUUCUCGUCCUAAAGAAGAAUUUAAGCCUUUUGACUCAAAAGUUAAAUUCAAAAAUUUAUUAAGAGACAGUUGAUUUCUCGUCAAGCCAUUCAUUCCAGCCACUAAUUAAGAGACUAAUGAUUAUGCUACCUUUGCACGGUCAAAAUACCGCGGCUCUUUAAAAAUACGCUCAGUGAGCAGGCCAGACCUCAAAAUAUAAACAA